GAUGAAGAACGUAGCGAAAUGCGAUAAGUAGUGUGAAUUGCAGAAUUCGGUGAAUCAUCGAAUCUUUGAACGCACAUUGCGCCCUUUGGUAUUCCAAAGGGCAUGCCUGUUCGAGCGUCAUUUGUACCCUCAAGCUUUGCUUGGUGUUGGGCGUCUUGUCUCUAGCUUUGCUGGAGACUCGCCUUAAAGUAAUUGGCAGCCGGCCUACUGGUUUCGGAGCGCAGCACAAGUCGCACUCUCUAUCAGCAAAGGUCUAGCAUCCAUUAAGCCUUUUUUUCAACUUUUGACCUCGGAUCAGGUAGGGAUACCCGCUGAACUUAAGCAUAUCAAUAAGCGGAGGA
rnacentral:misc_RNA from 1 species